rnacentral:lncRNA from 1 species
UCCGACAAGAGCCUCAAUUUGAUAAUGAGUUCGUUGCAAUCCACCCACUAAGCCUUGAGGAAAGAUGUCAAAAUUUUGUAGAAAUAUCCAAAAAAUUUCUCACAAAUUCUAACUCCAGCAGCACAUUAACAGCUUAUGCUAACCAAAUUCAUGUUUGGGAUCUAGUCACGAGUUUAGAGCUCGUUAGAGAGAACAAGAGAAUACUCUGAACUUUUUAUAAAAUAUAUGGAUGCUUUAAUCCACUAACUCCAGUCAUAUUUGUUGGGGAUUUAUUUCUCUUACUUCCUAAACAGGAACAACAUAAAUACAAAGGAUUUCCACAUUCCUGGCAAAAAAACAAGAAAUAUAGACCCGAAAAUUUUGGAAAGGGAUUUUCUAGUUCCUAGUAGCAAUAACAAAAAAUAUUUUUUUAGAUAAAAGUAAAAAUAGUAUAAAAAGGUACAAAGGGGAUACCGUCUAUUUACAAAAAGAUUUCACAUAUCAAUGAACAUAUCAACAACCGCUCUAAUAUAUUCUAAGGAUAAUAAAUUACGACCCAAAAGUAUGGAGUCAAAAUAAUACAACCAUCUAUCUCUAAUAUUUACAAGAGUAUCUUCUAUACCCUCAAAAGCACGAUGCCUAAUGGCUCUAGAUGCCUUGAGUGAUGCAAGCAUUAAUCCACUUUCUCCACUUAACUCCAAAUCCCAUUAUCUCUAGCAUAUAGUCAAUAAACCAAAACUUACAUGGUCCCACGCCUUCUCCAUAUCCAAUUUGCAUAAAAUCUCAUCUCUCUUCCUAUACAAUUAAUCUUCUUUUACCUCAUUUGCUAUAAAAUCGCAUCCACAAUUUGUCUUCCUUCUACAAACGCAUUUUGACUCUGCCCAACCACUUUGUUCAACACUUUAAUCAUUCUUUUAACAAAAACUUUCAUAAUAAGUUUAUAACAUAGCCUACUAAACUUAUCGGUCAGAACCUCUUA